rnacentral:rRNA from 1 species
UACGGAGGGAGCUAGCGUUGUUCGGAAUUACUGGGCGUAAAGCGCACGUAGGCGGCUUUUCAAGUCAGGGGUGAAAUCCCGGGGCUCAACCCCGGAACUGCCCUUGAAACUGGAUGGCUAGAAUUCUGGAGAGGCGAGUGGAAUUCCGAGUGUAGAGGUGAAAUUCGUAGAUAUUGGGAAGAACACCGGUGGCGAAGGCGGCUCACUGGCUCGUUUCUGACGCUCAGGCGCGAUAGCGUGGGGAUCGAACAGG